UGAAAGUGACUACAUCGG
rnacentral:siRNA from 1 species